rfam:Strigamia maritima strain Brora ctg7180001231094, whole genome shotgun sequence.
UAUAUGAUGAGAAUUUUUGGUCCGUGUUGCUGAAGUGUUCUUGAUAACAACUAAUCCAAAUUCUGAAAUUU